rnacentral:rRNA from 1 species
AUGGCGGCGGCGCGCCCCGCAGGUGAAGCAGCACCCGAGACCCAAGGGGCUGCACCGGCCAAGAAGAAGCAACUGUUCUCCCAAGAUCGGGCCAAGACGAAGCAGGUGACGGUCGACGAGAACGGGGCCUCAGGAGCCACCUUCACCAUAGGUGCCAACCUCGACCCGGUCCAGGAAGAGGCACUGGUGAAAUUCCUGCGCACGAACAAAGAGGUAUUCGCCUGGGAACCCAAGCAGCUGGUAGGGAUCCCGAGGGGAGUAAUCGAACACCACUUGAGGGUGUGCCCCAAUGUGUGCCCGGUGAAGCAGAAGGCGCGACGACAGUCCACAGAGAAGCAGUCCUUCAUCGUCCAGGAAACCCGCAAGCUACAGGCGGCGGGUGUCAUCCGCGAAGUCCGGUACCCGGAGUGGCUGGCAAACCCCGUCGUCGUGCCCAAGAAGGGCGGGAAAGAACGCAUGUGCGUCGACUUCACCAACAAGGUCUGCCCCCAAGACCCGUUCCCGCUUCUGCGCAUCGAUCAGAUCGUCGACCCCACCGCCGAGUACGACCUGUUAUGUUUCCUAGAUGCCUUCUCAGAUUACCACCAGAUUAAGAUGGCAGUGGAGGGCGUAGAGAAGACGGCGUUCUUAACCCCGUGCGGGGUGUACUGCUACACCUGCAUGUUGUUUGGGCUGCGUAACGCUGGGGCGACAUUUCAGCGGCUGAUGCACAUCGCCCUAGGCCAACAGCUCGGAAGAAAUGCUGAAGCCUGCGUCGACGACGUUGUGGUAAAAUCUCAGGAGGCUAGGACCCUCAUUCAGGAUCUGGAGGAGACUUUUGCCAGCCUGCGCAAAGGUAAAUCUGCGGCUCAACCCGAAGAAAUGUGUGUUUGA